UUUAACAAAUUAUUCGCCAGAGUACUACUAGCAAUAGCCUGAAACUCAAAGGACUUGGCGGUGCUUCAUAUCCCUCUAGAGGAGCCUGUCCUAUAAACGAUAAACCCCGAUAGACCUUACCAACCCUAGCUAAUACAGCCUAUAUACCGCCAUCCUCAGCAAACCCUGAUAAAGGAAAUAUAGUAAGCAAGAUUGUUAAAAUACAAAAACGUUAGGUCAAGGUGUAGCUUAUGAGUUGGAAAGAGAUGGGCUACAUUUUCUCAAAACAGAAAAAAAAACGAACAUUCUUAUGAUAUUAAGAGUUAAAGGAGGAUUUAGUAGUAAGCUAAGAAUAGAGAGCUUGGCUGAAUUAGGCCCUGAAGCACGC
rnacentral:rRNA from 1 species